UACAGAGACUGCAAGCGUUAUUCGGAUUCACUGGGCGUAAAGGGUGCGCAGGCGGCCGAGUGUGUGAGGCGUGAAAGCCCGGGGCUUAACCCCGGAAUUGCACCUCAAACUACACGGCUAGAGCAUUGGAGAGGGUAGCAGAAUUCAUGGUGUAGCAGUGAAAUGCGUAGAUAUCAUGAGGAAUACCAGAGGCGAAGGCGGCUACCUGGACAAUUGCUGACGCUCAGGCACGAAAGCGUGGGAGCAAAGGG
rnacentral:rRNA from 1 species